AUUGAACGCUGGCGGCAGGCUUAACACAUGCAAGUCGAGCGGGGUGAUGGUGCUUGCACUAUCACUUAGCGGCGGACGGGUGAGUAAUGCUUAGGAAUCUGCCUAUUAGUGGGGGACAACAUCUCGAAAGGGAUGCUAAUACCGCAUACGUCCUACGGGAGAAAGCAGGGGAUCACUUGUGACCUUGCGCUAAUAGAUGAGCAUAAGUCGGACUAGCUAGUUGGGGGGGUAAAGGCCUACCAAGGCGACGAUCUGUAGCGGGUCUGAGAGGAUGAUCCGCCACACUGGGACUGAGACACGGCCCAGACUCCUACGGGAGGCAGCAGUGGGGAAUAUUGGACAAUGGGGGGAACCCUGAUCCAGCUAUGCCGCGUGUGUGAAGAAGGCCUUAUGGUUGUAAAGCACUUUAAGCGAGGAGGAGGCUCUUUUGGUUAAUACCCAAGAUGAGUGGACGUUACUCGCAGAAUAAGCACCGGCUAACUCUGUGCCAGCCGCCGCCGUAA
rnacentral:rRNA from 1 species